UCAGAGAAGGGACCAAGAUGAAAGUUA
rnacentral:piRNA from 1 species